CUUCUUCUGCUUCUCCCACAGGAUGUGUUGAGGGUACGCUGCCAGACAGAAAGCGAGGACUGCAAAACUUGUACACCAAGACAUUGAGAGACACGGAUGCGUUGAGGGUACGCUGCCAGACCGAAAGCGAGGGCUAAAAAACUUGUACACAAGAAAACGCUCAGGACAUUGAAACCAUUACCGUUCGUCCCUUACGUUAUAUCUGCCACCCCUGGGACCUGCACUCAUCGCCGGGCUCCGAACUCCUGGAACAAAAGCGCAAUUGUUAAACAGCCAAGUUUUUCUUUUUUGUCUCUCUCUCUCUCUCUCUCUCUGUCCUUAUUUAGAAUGCAACCAACAGGAUUGGUAUGAUUUGCCAAAUACGAAAUGCUUUGGUUUGAGGGGCAAAAAAAAAAAAAAAAAAAAGGAUUUUGGAGGACUUAA